AUGGCAGGGCCACGCCCCAGCCCAUGGGCCAGGCUGCUCCUGGCAGCCUUGAUCAGCGUCAGCCUCUCUGGGACCUUGGGGCUGGAAAACUUGAGGCUCCAAGCUCUUCAGCCUAGAGAAGCUUGAGCCCUGACCACGGGGCCUGAGAAUAGGAGCGAAGGAGGCUGUGUCUAGAGGAAAGAGGAGACACCCACCCAGGACUGAGGCAC
rnacentral:lncRNA from 1 species